rnacentral:lncRNA from 1 species
CUGGGACCUUCGUGGACCCCCGUCUUUUGCACUUGAGGAUUUGCUGCUUCCUGCCUUGCAGGGAAAGUGCUGCACAAACACACGUUCUGCCCAAGAGUGGGAGGAAUUUAAUCUUCAUACAGGAAGGUAAGUCAAAGGAGGAAGGAGAGAACUUGAACCGUCACAGGGGGCCUGUAUUUUCAUAGGAUUGUCCUGUUCCUUCUCAGAGAACAAAAAAAGAAACUAAGGGGACAUAGUGCACAUUUGAUCGAAGCCAGAAGCCCAGGGAGGCUCCUGUAGUCCUGGGGAGGCC